UCGGGCCUAACACAUGCAAGUUGUGCGAGAGUUUUUGACUCUAGUGGCGGACGGGUGAGUAACACGUGAGAAUUUGCCUUUAGGAGGGGGACAUCAAUUAGAAACGAAUGCUAAUACCCCAUAUGCUUUAGAGUGAAAUGGAUUUUAUCCUCCUAGAGAGAAGCUCGCGGCUGAUUAGCUUGUUGGUAAGGUAAGAGCUUACCAAGGCGACGAUCAGUAUCUGGUUUGAGAGGAGGAUCAGACACACUGGAACUGAGACACGGUCCAGACUCCUUCGGGAGGCAGCAGUGGGGAAUUU
rnacentral:rRNA from 1 species